rnacentral:rRNA from 1 species
UAGCUAGUUGGUGUGGUAAAGGCGCACCAAGGCCAUGAUCGGUAGCUGGUCUGAGAGGAUGAACAGCCACACUGGGACUGAGACACGGCUCAGACUCCUACGGGAGGCAGCAGUGGGGAAUAUUGGACAAUGGGGGCAACCCUGAUCCAGCGAUGCCGCGUGUGUGAAGAAGGCCUGAGGGUUGUAAAGCACUUUUAGUGGGGAGGAGGGUCGAUAGGUUAAGAGCUAAUUGAUUGGACGUUACCCACAGAAAAAGCACCGGCUAACUCCGUGCCAGCAGCCGCGGUAAUACGGAGGGUGCGAGCGUUAAUCGGAAUGACUGGGCGUAAAGGGUGCGUAGGCGGUUAGUUAAGUUGUGGGUGAAAUCACUGGGCUCAACCUGGUGUGGAAUCAUGAUACUGGCUGACUAGAGUACAGGAGAGGGUAGUGGAAUUUCCGGUGUAGCGGUGAAAUGCGUAGAGAUCGGAAGGAACACCAGUUGCGAAGGCGGCUACCUGGACUGAGACUGACGCUGAGGCACGAAAGCGUGGGGAGCAAACAGGAUUAGAUACCCUGGUAGUCCACGCUGUAAACGAUGUCAACUAGCUGUUAGUGGCGAAGAGCUAUUAGUGGCGC